rnacentral:rRNA from 1 species
AUUGAACGCUGGCGGCAGGCCUAACACAUGCAAGUCGAGCGGUUGAGGUAGCUUGCUACCGAUGCAGCGGCGAACGGGUGAGUAAUACAUGGGAAUCUGCCUGGUAGUGGGGGACAACGUUUCGAAAGGAAUGCUAAUACCGCAUACGCCCUACGGGGGAAAGGGGGGAUCGCAAGACCUCUCGCUAUCAGAUGAGCCCA